AUUUAUAAUUGACUUGCUUGUACUGUGAAUCUUUGCUGUUCUUAACCACUGUAUUUUUCAUCGUCUAGAUCACGAUCCUUCUCUUCCUCACCCUCCCCGACCCCCCCGGCACAAAGAAACACUAAUAAGAACAAAGCUGAGCAGCCUCCUGGUGCAUUGAAAGGCCAUCCAUUGAAGCCUGGUGCACUGCCCCCUCCUCGCAGGGAGAAAGGACCCCCCAAAAUGAUGCCCAGCCCCACGUUGCCUGAACAGCCGGGGAAGCCACCCAAGCCAAUCACAGAGACAGCAAAGCCCCCCAUUCCCCGGCCAGCUGGAAGACCUCCUGGACCCAGAGAGCCGAGAGAACCACCCAUCAUGAGAGAAGGACGCAAGAAAGAACGUCAACAGCACAACCCACCUCGCAGCAGGCGAACAGUGAGUGGCAGCUGUAAGUGGCAGCAGUUAUUCUGGCUCCAGCUCACGCUCAAA